rnacentral:rRNA from 1 species
AUUGAACGCUGGCGGCAGGCCUAACACAUGCAAGUCGAGCGAGCGGAGGACGGGUGAGUAAUGUAUGGGGACUGCCCGAUAGAGGGGGAUAACUACUGGAAACGGUAGCUAAUACAGCAUACUAUCGGAUAACCAAUCUGGGAUUAGCUAGUAGAGGCGGUAAUGGCUCACCUAGGCGACGAUCCCGAGAUGGUAUGAGCGGAUGAUCAGCCACACUGGGACUGCGACACGGCCCAGACUCCUCCGGAGGCAGCAGUGGGUAAUAGUGCACAAUGGGCGCAAGCCUGAUGCAGCCAUGCCGCGUGUAUGAAGAAGGCCCUAGGGUUGUAAAGUACUUUCAGUCGGGAGGCGUUGCCGACAGAAGAAGCACCGGCUAACUCCGUGCCAGCAGCCGCGGUAAUAC